rnacentral:rRNA from 1 species
AGUGAACGCUGGCGGUAGGCCUAACACAUGCAAGUCGAACGGCAGCACAGUAAGAGCUUGCUCUUACGGGUGGCGAGUGGCGGACGGGUGAGGAAUACAUCGGAAUCUACUUUUUCGUGGGGGAUAACGUAGGGAAACUUACGCUAAUACCGCAUACGACCUACGGGUGAAGGCAGGGGAUCUUCGGACCUUGCGCGAUUGAAUGAGCCGAUGUCGGAUUAGCUAGUUGGCGGGGUAAAGGCCCACCAAGGCGACGAUCCGUAGCUGGUCUGAGAGGAUGAUCAGCCACACUGGAACUGAGACACGGUCCAGACGCCUACGGGAGGCAGCAGUGGGGAAUAUUGGACAAUGGGCGCAAGCCUGAUCCAGCCAUACCGCGUGGGUGAAGAAGGCCUUCGGGUUGUAAAGCCCUUUUGUUGGGAAAGAAAAGCAGCAGGUUAAUACCCCGCUGUUCUGACGGUACCCAAAGAAUAAGCACCGGCUAACUUCGU